GACGGUAACAGGACGCUAGGAUCCCUUCGGGGUGACUUUGUCGCUGACGAGUGGCGGACGGGUGAGUAAUGCAUAGGAAUCUGCCCAGUAGUGGGGGAUAACUCGGAGAAAUCCGAGCUAAUACCGCAUAUGUCCUACGGGACAAAGCAGGGGACCUUCGGGCCUUGCGCUAUUGGAUGAGCCUAUGUCAGAUUAGCUAGUUGGUAGGGUAAAAGCCUACCAAGGCAACGAUCUGUAGCUGGUCUGAGAGGAUGAUCAGCCACACUGGGACUGAGACACGGCCCAGACUCCUACGGGAGGCAGCAGUGGGGAAUAUUGCACAAUGGGCGCAAGCCUGAUGCAGCAAUGCCGCGUGUGUGAAGAAGGCCUGCGGGUUGUAAAGCACUUUUAUUGGGAAAGAAAAACACGAAAUUAAUACUUUCGUACUUGACGGUACCUAAAGAAUAAGCACCGGCUAACUCAGUGCCAGCAGCCGCGGUAAUACUGAGGGUGCAAGCGUUAAUCGGAUUACUGGGCGUAAAGCGAGUGUAGGCGGCUACGUAAGUCGGAUGUGAAAGCCCUGGGCUCAACCUGGGAAUUGCAUUCGAAACUGCGUAGCUAGAGUUUGAUAGAGGUAAGUGGAAUUCCGGGUGUAGCGGUGAAAUGCGUAGAUAUCCGGAGGAACAUCAGUGGCGAAGGCGGCUUACUGGAUCAAAACUGACGCUGAGGCUCGAAAGCGUGGGGAGCAAACAGGAUUAGAUACCCUGAUAGUCCACGCCCUAAACGAUGUCAACUAGACGUUGGGUUCAUUAAUGAACUUAG
rnacentral:rRNA from 1 species